rnacentral:rRNA from 1 species
GUGGGGAAUAUUGGACAAUGGGCGAAAGCCUGAUCCAGCCAUGCCGCGUGUGUGAAGAAGGUCUUCGGAUUGUAAAGCACUUUAAGUUGGGAGGAAGGGCAGUAAGUUAAUACCUUGCUGUUUUGACGUUACCGACAGAAUAAGCACCGGCUAACUUCGUGCCAGCAGCCGCGGUAAUACGAAGGGUGCAAGCGUUAAUCGGAAUUACUGGGCGUAAAGCGCGCGUAGGUGGUUCAGCAAGUUGAAGGUGAAAUCCCCGGGCUCAACCUGGGAACUGCCUCCAAAACUACUGAGCUAGAGUACGGUAGAGGGUAGUGGAAUUUCCUGUGUAGCGGUGAAAUGCGUAGAUAUAGGAAGGAACACCAGUGGCGAAGGCGACUACCUGGACUGAUACUGACACUGAGGUGCGAAAGCGUGGGGAGCAAACAGGAUUAGAUACCAGGGUAGUCC